rnacentral:rRNA from 1 species
GACGAACGCUGGCGGCGUGCUUAACACAUGCAAGUCGAACGGAAAGGCCCUGCUUUUGUGGGGUGCUCGAGUGGCGAACGGGUGAGUAACACGUGAGUAACCUGCCCUUGACUUUGGGAUAACUUCAGGAAACUGGGGCUAAUACCGGAUAGGAGCUCCUGCUGCAUGGUGGGGGUUGGAAAGUUUCGGCGGUUGGGGAUGGACUCGCGGCUUAUCAGCUUGUUGGUGGGGUAGUGGCUUACCAAGGCUUUGACGGGUAGCCGGCCUGAGAGGGUGACCGGCCACAUUGGGACUGAGAGACGGCCCAGACGCGUACGGGAGGCAGCAGUGGGGAGUAUUGCACAAUGGGCGGAAGCCUGAUGCAGCAACGCCGCGUGCGGGAUGACGGCCUUCUGGUUGUAAACCGCUUUCGCCUGUGACGAAGCGUGAGUGACGGUAAUGGGUAAAGAAGCACCGGCUAACUACGUG